rnacentral:rRNA from 1 species
GACGAACCGUGCGAACGUUGUUCGGAAUCACUGGGCUUAAAGGGCGCGUAGGCGGGCUGUCAAGUCUGGGGUGAAAUCCCACGGCUCAACCGUGGAACUGCUGGGCAUACUGGCGAUCUUGGGCCAUUCAGGGGCGACCGGAACAAGCGGUGGAGCGGUGAAAUGCGUAGAUAUCGCUUGGAACGCCGAAGGUGAAAACAGGUCGCUGGGGAUGUGCCGACGCUGAGACACGAAAGCCAGGGGAGCAAACGGG